UACAGAGGGGGCAAGCGUUAUUCGGAAUUACUGGGCGUAAAGCGUGCGCAGGCGGCGCGUUAAGACAGGUGUGAAAGCCCCGAGCUUAACUUGGGAAUUGCGCUUGUGACUGGCGUGCUGGAGUGUGGCAGAGGGAGGUGGAAUUCCACGUGUAGCAGUGAAAUGCGUAGAGAUGUGGAGGAACACCGAUGGCGAAGGCAGCCUCCUGGGCCAGCACUGACGCUCAUGCACGAAAGCGUGGGGAUCAAACAGG
rnacentral:rRNA from 1 species